rnacentral:ncRNA from 1 species
GACAAAUAAAUAAUCGCUUAUAUAAUAGUCGUGAUAUGGACGACAAGUUUCUACCUGCAAACCUUAAAUUAGCAGACUAUAAGCAUCAAAGAUA